rnacentral:rRNA from 1 species
GACGAACGCUGGCGGCGUGCUUAACACAUGCAAGUCGAACGGAAAGGCCCCUUUGGGGGUACUCGAGUGGCGAACGGGUGAGUAACACGUGAGUAACCUGCCCUUGACUUCGGGAUAACUUCAGGAAACUGGGGCUAAUACCGGAUAGGAAUCCUUGCUGCAUGGUGGGGGUUGGAAAGCUUCGGCGGUUUUGGAUGGACUCGCGGCUUAUCAGCUUGUUGGUGGGGUAGUGGCUUACCAAGGCUUUGACGGGUAGCCGGCCUGAGAGGGCGACCGGCCACAUUGGGACUGAGAUACGGCCCAGACUCCUACGGGGGGCAGCAGUGGGGAAUAUUGCACAAUGGGCGGAAGCCUGAUGCAGCAACGCCGCGGGCGGGAGGACGGCCUUCGGGUUGUAAACCGCUUUCAGCAGGGGCGAAGCUUGUGGUGACGGUACCUGCAGAAGAAGCACCGGCUAACUACGUG